rnacentral:rRNA from 1 species
GACGAACGCUGGCGGCGUGCCUAAUACAUGCAAGUUGAGCGCUGAAGGUUGGUACUUGUACCAACUGGAUGAGCAGCGCACGGGUGUGUAACGCGUGGGGCAUCUGCCUUUGAUCGGGGGACAACAUUUGGAAACGAAUGCUAAUACCGCAUAAACACUUUCAACACAAGUUUUAAGUUUGAAAGAUGCCAUUGCAUCACUCAAAGAUGAUCCCGCGUUGUAUUAGCUGGUUGGUGAGGUAAAGGCUCACCAAGGCGAUGCUACAUAGCCGACAUGAGCGGAUGAUAAGCCGGAUUGGGACGGAGACACGGCACAAAGGGAUACGGAAGGCAGCAGGAGGGAAACGUGGGGAAUGGACGAAAGACAGAGCGAGAAACGCCGCGGGAGUGAAGAGGGUUGUCGGGUCGUAAAACUCUGUUGGUAGAGAAGAACGUGGGUGAGAGUGGAAAGCUCAGAAAGUGACGGUAACGACUCAGAAAGGGACGGCUAACUACGUG